AUACUACUCCCUCCGUCCCAAAAUUCUUGUCUUAGAUUUGUCUAAAUACGGAUAUAUCAAGUCACAUUUUAGUAUUAGAUACAUCCGUAUCUAGACAAAUCUAAGACAAGAAUUUUGGGACGGAGGGAGUACUUU
rnacentral:pre_miRNA from 1 species